rnacentral:lncRNA from 1 species
UUAGUCUUAUCGCGUGACUUUCAGGUGGCCAUUUGACCUGGAAUAAUUGGGCAGGUGAUCAACAUGGCUGCUGUUUUGGUAUGCUCGAAGAUUGUGCCGUGUUGCGCUUUAGAGAUCAUGGGGUUUGGCACGAUUAUCCCUGCAAGCACAUAUUCUACAAGUACUCCUAUAUAUGUGAAUACGAUAAAACCCCGCGGCCAACAAAUGCGACAGUGACCACCACCACCACCACCACUACCACUACUACGACUGCAGCGCCAACCACCACCACCACCACCGUAUCUCCAUUAUACAACGACCAGGCAGGGAAAGUAGGCGUCGAAAACCAUGCAGGGUCGGACUACAACAAUCCAACAAAAGUUGUUCGUGGCUCGAAUCAUAAGAAUGAUGAAGGACGGGACCCAGGCGAAAACCUACUGCAAGAAGGACAGAAUCCCAUGUCACAGCGAUUGCAAA